UACGGGGGGGGUAAGCGUUGUUCGGAAUUACUGGGCGUAAAGGGCUCGUAGGCGGCCAACUAAGUCAGACGUGAAAUCCCUCAGCUUAACUGGGGAACUGCGUCUGAUACUGGAUGGCUUGGAUUCGGGAGAGGAAUGCGGAAUUCCAGGUGUAGCGGUGAAAUGCGUAGAUAUCUGGAGGAACACCGGUGGCGAAGGCGGCAUUCUGGACCGACAUUGACGCUGAGGAGCGAAGGCCAGGGGAGCAAACGGG
rnacentral:rRNA from 1 species